UGUUUUGUUGGUUAGCAGGGUGCAAAGCUUCAGGUUUGGUUUAUGCUAGGUUUUGGUGCUAUUGUGUCUUGGACAGAAAAAUGCAAAUGGCAAAGGCAAGGGCAGUCAGCUGUUUUUUUUUGGUGAAUGGAUGAGGUUCAAUGAUUUGUGGUUUGUUGGUUUGUGUGUCUGCUGUAGCAGGAAAUGUUGGUUUGUUGGCUAGCUACUCCAUGAUGAACAAUUGGUGAACAAGGUUACUGUUGGUUGGCCAAGCAGAGUUUUGG
rnacentral:lncRNA from 1 species